GCAAAAUUGGAGGAGAGUGGUGCUUUGACUGGAGCGCUCACGAUUCACGAGCGCAAAAAAUUGUGAGGCCCCAGCAACCGGAAGCAUGGCCACCGAAGUGUGCAACAUUGGGCGACUCCCGUGGCGAUACGGCAACCAGAACGAAAACGGGAAAGCCGUGUGGAAUCCAAGCCGUAAUCAGCUGUGGUCGUACAUUGGUUCAUCGUCAACAGAACGUCCAGCGACUGUCACGGCUCGUCGACAAAAUCAACUGGUCCCACGGUGCAACACGCAGAAAAAGAAUGGGGGAUGGUUUCAACAAAACGUUUUGUUAUUUUAUUUGAUAUUUUUAAUGCAGAUUUUUUGAUAACUUUCACAGAAAAAUCGAAUGUGAUCAAUAACAAAAUUUUGUUAUUUAUGCACACACAUUUUUUAUCACUUACAAAUGAAAUUUGGUUUAAUUUGAAACCAAAAUUCGGUUUUAUGCAUUAUACGUGUAAACGAUAAGUUGAGAAUGACAAAAAGAAAAAAAAAUAUCAAAAAAUUUGAACACCCGACUGAACAAAAGCAAUAAUAAGAUGACCGACGAGCUUUGUGGCACAAAGCCGGACAACUGUUUUUUCUGGGCCAGUCAUCGAGAACCCCGGUACCGAUAAUCAAAUAUUCAGGAUUGGAAAAUGGAAGCAUUUGAAACACGCCGCUACGAAAAUGGAAUUCAUUGUAGCAGAAGUUGCUGUGAAAAAUUUUCCGGUUUGGAAGUGUUCGGAAGCCGGCGCGAAGGGGCGCAUAUUCUUGGUGGGUGCGUGGCGGAAUACAGUCCGGCUUUUAGAGCGGUAGAAAGAACGACUGGUUCUCUUUUACCCGCAUAUUUGUUGCAUGGAAGAUAGACCUCGACCUCCAACUCCAUAGGACUUAUUCCGUCGAUCUGGCAUGCAAGGACGGUAAUUCUAGAUUGCUGACUCUUGAAAGUCAAGAACGAAAAGCUGCUUCCAGAGUUGGCCUUUCUACUAGCAGCAUCGGCGGUUUUCCAUUGUGUUGCUCCCAAGCCAGGCGGACUGGAAGUGAAACCCCGUUUUCAAUGGUAAUAAAUAA